GUGUCAGCAGCCGCGGUAAAACGUAGGAGGCAAGCGUUAUCCGGAUUCACUGGGCGUAAAGCGCGUGCAGGCGGUUCGGUAAGUUGGGCGUGAAAUCUCCUGGCUCAACUAGGAGAGGUCGUCCAAUACUACCAGACUAGAGAGCGGUAGAGGAAGAUGGAAUUCCCGGUGUAGUGGUGAAAUGCGUAGAUAUCGGGAGGAACACCAGUGGCGAAGGCGAUCUUCUGGACCGUUUCUGACGCUCAGACGCGACAGCUAGGGUAGCAAACGGGAUUAGAUACCCCUGUAGUCC
rnacentral:rRNA from 1 species